ACGGUGCGCGCACCCACUGACCUGCGCCCACUGUCUGGCACUCCCUAGUGAGAUGAACCCGGUACCUCAGAUGGAAAUGCAGAAAUCACCCGUCUUCUGCGUUGCUCACGCUGGGAGCUGUGGACCAGAGCUGUUCCUAUUCGGCCAUCUUGGCUCCUCCCCCGGGUGUUGGUGUCCCUCUGUUGCCCAGGCUGGAGUGCAGUGGCAAGACUGGCUCACUGCAACCUCCACCUCCUGGGAUCAAGCGAUCCUCCCAUCUCAUCCUCCAGGAGCUGGGACUAAAGAAAGAAACUUAUAAUUCACACUUUUGUUGAUGAGGAGACCAGGACAGAAGAAGCAAGAGACAGUUGACCAUUAAACAACACAGGUUUGAACUGAGUGGAUCCACUUAUAUGCAUACGUGCAUUUUCUCCUGACUCGGCCACCCCUGAGACAGCAAGACCAAUCACUCCUCUUUGACUUCCUCCUCAUUUUACUCAAUGUGAAGACCACCAGGAUGAAGACCUUUAUGAUGAUCCACUUCCACUUAAUGAAUAGUAAAGAUAUAUUUCUUAUUAUUUUCUUUAGAACUUUUUCUCUAGCUUACUUUAUUGUAAAUAUACAGUAUAUAAUACAUAUUCAAAAUACAUGUUAAUCAACUGUUUAUGUUAUCAGUACGGCUUCUGGUCAACAGUAGCCUAUUAGUAGUUACAUUUUGGGGGAGUCAAAAGUUACACACAGAUUUUUGAGUGUGCAUGGGGUUAGAGUCCCUAACCUUCAUGUUGUCCAAGGGUCAAGUGUAUAAUGUUUAUUUAAGCAGAGACUUAUUUUAGUGUAUUUAAAUUUUUGGUCACAGAUUUUUUGACUUCUGUGGGUAGGUAAUGAGCCAAGGCUCUAAUUUUUUUUUUUUUUUUUUUUUUUUGUGGGGAGCCUUAAGCCUGGAUUUGGGUCACAUUAUAUAAGGAUGCUAUUAAUUUAAGUAGUAGAGCGGCAGGCUAUAAUUGACUUUGUUGAGUUCCAGGUCCUGUAAGUACAUGGCUUCCAACAGAGUUUCCAUUCUCUUUAUGGUCGAUGGAGAUGCUCACCUUGAGCAUGGCCAUAUAUUUUAUAAUAGUUUUUUUUUUAAAAACAUAUCAUUAUCAUUGCAAUAAAUUACAAAUAUAGAAUAAAGCAAUUUCCUUAACUUAUUCUACUAUUUUGAAAUAUGUCAAUUGUCAUUAUAUACACAUUUAAAGAAACACAUACACAUGCACACACACACAUCAUAGUACUGAGCUUUUCAAUGUUGUAUCUUUUCAAGCAGACCCUUACCAUUGGGCAUGCAAGUGUGUAUGUAGGCAAAGUGGUGCUAAGUGGCACUACUGGUCUUAAAAAGUCUUAUUGAAUUUUUAAUACUUAAAAAAUACCUUUCAUUUUUGUACAAUAUAUAUUGACCUUCAUUUUACUAAAUAUCACAUUUCACAAAAGAUCUUAGCUAAUUGCAAUAAUUGAGUAAACAAGAAUAUAAAGUAUAAUAUGCUUUUAAAGGAUGACAAGGUAAUUUCAAGCUCUUUUAGAAACAUUUUACAGCAGAUGUUUGCAUAUAAUGUGCUAAUUUCAAAUGGUGCUUAUUUAAUUCUUGGAGGAAGCUAUGUCAAUUAUUCUCCAUUUGGAGAAACUAUACGUCCUUUAGAAUGACCCCAAGUAUCUCAGAGCCUUUUAAAAAAUAAUGUCUUCUAUUUUAAAGAUAUUUCAACCAUUUUUAGCAGACUCAGUAGCUAAACUCAAAAAGUAGCAAUGUAGUGGAAAGAGAACACAUUUUAAUGCUAAGCAAAUCUGUGAUCUGAAACCUACCUUCUAUUAUUUUCUAAUUGUUUGAACUUAGGCAAAAUUAACUUCUCUGGGUCUAAUUUUUAACAUAUUUUUUAAGGGAAGAUAACAAUGGCUAUCUAAUUUGUAGAACUCUGAGUGGUUUAAUUGAGAUAAUGAGUAUAAAUUUCAUUAUAUGGGACUGGCACAGAAUUGAUGUUCAAUAUGUGUUAGUUUCAGUUCUAUUUAUCCAACAUCUGUGAGAUUUUAUCCUAAAAUGUAAAUGUGACGAUUAUGUGCAUCUCCAUCCAGUCAGCCUUAAUGAGUAAGAUUAUGCUUACCAGCUCUUGUAUCCCUUCAUGUCAGAACAAUAAAAGCUGGAUCAAAAAUAGA
ensembl:lncRNA novel transcript, antisense to CHRM2